GCUCGGACGCGAGUUCUAUC
rnacentral:snRNA from 1 species